GGCGGACGGGUGUCGCAAUGCAUAGGAAUCUGCCCUGUAGCGGGGGACAACUUAGGGAAACUUAAGCUAAUACCGCAUACGACCUACGGGUGAAAGACUUCGGUCACUAUAGGAUGAGCCUAUGUCUGAUUAGCUAGUUGGUAGGGUAAAGGCCUACCAAGGCGACGAUCAGUAGCUGGUCUGAGAGGACGAUCAGCCACACUGGGACUGAGACACGGCCCAGACUCCUACGGGAGGCAGCAGUGGGGAAUAUUGGACAAUGGGCGAAAGCCUGAUCCAGCAAUGCCGCGUGUGUGAAGAAGGCCUGCGGGUUGUAAAGCACUUUCAGCUGGAAAGAUGAUGACGGUACCAGCAGAAGAAGCACCGGCUAACUCCGUGCCAGCAGCCGCG
rnacentral:rRNA from 1 species